AACGAACGCUGGCGGCAUGCCUAACACAUGCAAGUCGAACGAGACCUUCGGGGCUAGUGGCGCACGGGUGCGUAACGCGUGGGAACCUGCCCUUAGGUUCGGAAUAACUCCCGGAAAGGGGUGCUAAUACCGGAUAAUGUCUUCGGAGCAAAGAUUUAUCGCCUUUGGAUGGGCCCGCGUUGGAUUAGCUAGUUGGUAGGGUAAAGGCCUACCAAGGCGACGAUCCAUAGCUGGUCUGAGAGGAUGAUCAGCCACACUGGGACUGAGACACGGCCCAGACUCCUACGGGAGGCAGCAGUGGGGAAUAUUGCGCAAUGGGCGAAAGCCUGAUCCAGCCAUGCCGCGUGAGUGAUGAAGGCCUUAGGAUUGUAAAGUUCUUUCACCCGGGAUGAUAAUGACGGUACCGGGAGAAUAAGCUCCGGCUAACUCCGUG
rnacentral:rRNA from 1 species